rnacentral:rRNA from 1 species
CCUACGGGAGGCAGCAGUGGGGAAUAUUGCACAAUGGAGGAAACCCUGAUGCAGCGACGCCGCGUGAGUGAAGAAGUAUUUCGGUAUGUAAAGCUCUAUCAGCAGGGAAGAAAAUGACGGUACCUGACUAAGAAGCCACGGCUAACUACGUGCCAGCAGCCGCGGUAAUACGUAGGGGGCAAGCGUUAUCCGGAUUUACUGGGUGUAAAGGGUGCGUAGGCGGUCAGACAAGUCAGAGGUGAAAGCCCAGGGCUCAACCCUGGGACUGCUUUUGAAACUGGUGGGCUAGAGAGUAGGAGAGGUAGGCGGAAUGCAUAGUGUAGCGGUGAAAUGCGUAGAGAUUAGGAGGAACACCAGUGGCGAAGGCGGCUUACUGGACUGUAACUGACGUUGAGGCUCGAAAGCGUGGGGAGCAAACAGGAUUAGAUACCCGUGUAGUC